UACGUAGGGUGCAAGCGUUGUCCGGAUUUAUUGGGCGUAAAGAGCUCGUAGGCGGUCUGUCGCGUCGGAUGUGAAAACCCAGGGCUCAACCCUGGGCCUGCAUUCGAUACGGGCAGACUAGAGUACGGCAGGGGAGACUGGAAUUCCUGGUGUAGCGGUGAAAUGCGCAGAUAUCAGGAGGAACACCGGUGGCGAAGGCGGGUCUCUAGGCCGGUACCGACGCUGAGGAGCGAAAGCGUGGGGAGCGAACAGG
rnacentral:rRNA from 1 species